rnacentral:rRNA from 1 species
GAUGAACGCUGGCGGCGUGCCUAAUACAUGCAAGUCGAGCGGACGGACGAGACGCUUGCUUCUCUGAUGUUAGCGGCGGACGGGUGAGUAACACGUGGAUAACCUACCUAUAAGACUGGGAUCACUUCGGGAAACCGGAGCUAAUCCCGGAUAAUAUUUUGAACCGCAUGGUUCAAAAGAGAAAGACGGUCUUGCUGUCACUUAUAGAUGGAUCCGCGCUGCAUUAGCUAGUUGGUAAGGUAACGGCUUACCAAGGCAACGAUGCAUAGCCGACCUGAUAGGCGGAUAGGCCACACGGGAACUGAGACACGGUCCUGACUCCUACGGGAGGCAGCAGUAGGGAAUCUGCCGCAGUAGGCGAAAGCCUGACGGAGCAACGCCGCGUGAGUGAUGAAGGUCUUCGGAUCGUAAAACUCUGUUAUUAGGGAAGAACAUAUGUGUAAGUAACUGUGCACAGCUUGACGGUACCUAAUCAGAAAGCCACGGCUAACUACGUG